rnacentral:sRNA from 1 species
AUAAAGCAGAGUCUGAA